UACGGGGGGGGCAAGCGUUGUUCGGAAUUACUGGGCGUAAAGGGUUCGUAGGUGGCCUGCUAAGUCAGACGUGAAAUCCCUCAGCUCAACUGGGGAACUGCGUCUGAGACUGGCAGGCUCGAGUGCAGGAGAGGGACGCGGAAUUCCAGGUGUAGCGGUGAAAUGCGUAGAUAUCUGGAGGAACACCGGUGGCGAAAGCGGCGUUCUGGACUGUUACUGACACUGAGGAACGAAAGCCAGGGGAGCAAACGGG
rnacentral:rRNA from 1 species